GACGAACGCUGGCGGCGUGCUUAACACAUGCAAGUCGAACGGAAAGGCCCUGCUUUUGUGGGGUGCUCGAGUGGCGAACGGGUGAGUAACACGUGAGUAACCUGCCCUUGACUUUGGGAUAACUUCAGGAAACUGGGGCUAAUACCGGAUAGGAGCUCCUGCUGCAUGGUGGGGGUUGGAAAGUUUCGGCGGUUGGGGAUGGACUCGCGGCUUAUCAGCUUGUUGGUGGGGUAGUGGCUUACCAAGGCUUUGACGGGUAGCCGGCCUGAGAGGGUGACCGGCCACAUUGGGACUGAGAUGCGGCCCAGACUCCUACGGGAGGCAGAAGUGGAGAAUAUUGCACAAUGGGCGGAAGCCUGAUGCAGCAACGCCGCGUGCGGGAUGACGGCCUUCGGGUUGUAAACCGCUUUCGCCUGUGACGAAGCGUGAGUGACGGUAAUGGGUAAAGAAGCACCGGCUAACUACGUG
rnacentral:rRNA from 1 species